UUAAUUCGAGUACAGGCCGGAAAAUUGCCAUCGACGGAAAUAGAAAUAAAGAAGAAGAAGAGAACGUGAAAAGUACAAUGUUUCGGUCAGAAUUGUGCCAUAUUUAUACGAUGAACAAGAAGAACUUGGUCGUCAUAAAAAAAUAAUAAACCACAGCUUCGAUUCCAUUUCAAAGAUCCGUACGAGACUUUUGUGGACUCCGGAGUGACAUAAUGUUUGAUUGAGCAUCGGCGUACAUCAAUCAGGGUCAAUCUUUAAACUUUCUCUGGUACCUUGAGUAGGUAUUCGUUUCACUCUUGUCGUCACCACACACGGUGUGUGGAAUUACGUCGUUGUCGCUGUUAAUGGAAGUUUUUUGCGCAUAUAUUUACUAUACUGUUGUUGUUGCUACUGGCUGCUGGUGUCACACACGUUGUUUUCGUUGGUGAAUUUUUGAUUUUCGAAUUCGGCGCCGAUAUGAAGAUUGUAUCGAUAUUUGCGUUGUACGCGGUGAUCUUGAUCGUGGCAUGUUUUGGUUACAGUUCGGCGCAAACUACACAGAAACCGUCUUCCAAUGGUACAAGGAAGCUGCAGAUUACGGAGAAUUCUAAUCCUCAAGUAUCUUACGGAACAGCUUUCGAUGAGAUCACAGUCGAAUCAAAUUUGAACAUUAGAGGAAAAAAUCCAAGCUCACGAUCCCAACGUACGCAGCUAUUCCCAGUCAAGACUGCUAAUGCUAGUGAUACGAAGGCAAAUGAAAACAAACCAAAUAAUAUUAAAUUAGCUACAAAUGCUUAACUUCUGCAGUCGAGUAUUCAAGAAUAAGGUUCAACAGUGUCAUAUGUAUUAUUACGUUUUGGAAUCAUUCAUACAGACCAGAGACCAGGCUUCGAGAAUAUUUUCAUGGAAAAAAAUUGCCCAAGUUUUAUUUUUAUCGUCGUCGUUACGCUUUAUGAUUUUUAGUACUUAAUUUUUUAUUUUAAUAUAUAUAUUUUUUAGUAAGUAUUUCAAAAAGCCAAAAAAAUAUUUUAACGUUGAAACGAUUAUUCGUUUCAAUGUCACUUCAGAUAAUGAUAAAGUAAAUAAGACUACGAGUUACCAAAAUUUUUAUAACGAAGUAUUAACAAACAAAAAAAUUGAAAAAUAUAUUUUUUAAAGGGAGAAAAAAACACGUACAAAAUGAUUUUAUUUUAAAUAAUUUACAUAAUGAUUUGAUCGGAUUUAAUGAGACCACGAUGUAUAGGCAUAUAGAGGCUAGGUUAGGAUAUUAUUUCCUUCUGUAAAAUCUGUAACAGAAAAUCAUGAAAUGGAAAUUAGCCAAACGUAUCGAUAUAAACGAGAAAUUCGAAUAUAUAAUCGAAGAACCAAAAUGAAAUUUACUUUACCCUCCAAAUCCGCCUAACGAAUUGCUACCAGAGGCGGCUUGACUAGAUGAGAAACUUGCAGAAAAUGGUCCAGCUUGGAAGCUGGCUGAAUUACUAGAUGCUUGACUUUGACUUAAACCACCUCCUCCGAAACCGCCGCCGUUUCCGGCGAAACUUCCAGCUUGAGCUGAGCUUCCGGCGAAUCCGGCGCCGCCACCACCAUUACCGUAGCCUGGACCGUAUCCGCCACCGUGUCCGUAUCCACCGCCGCCACCAUGAUGGCCGUGAUGAUGGUGAUGGUGACCGCCGCCACCUUCGUAGUAGCCUCCGCCUCCGCCUCCGUGAUGGUGAUGAUGUGAUUUAAAUCCGAGUAGGCCUAAAAUUGGUUCUGGAGAUCUUUGAAGUCUGGCUACGGCUACGCUUUGUACUUGGGGUAAUUGAGCGAUUUCGUGUUCUGUAAAUUAAUUCGUAGUGGUUAAAAUAGGCUCGAUGGUGAAUGAUUUAAUUUUAGAUAAUUAUGGAAAUUAUUUUCAGUGAGAACAUUUGAUCGUUGAUGUGAUUGAGAAGAAAUAACGAAGUAAAAUCAACGAGAAUUUGAAGAAGCUGAUCGUACGGUUGAUGAGUUGCGAUGAAAUAAAAUAUUUUGGAGACUCCUGAAUCGAGUUAUUUGAUCAUCGAUGAAACAAGAAGACAACAAAGAACGAAAAAGAAGCGAUGAAUUGCAACUUUAUGAUUGGCUAUAGAAGAUGGUCAACAUUCGCCAUUGUUGUUUUGCGAAUGAAACGUUCUAAACGACGUCAUAGAAUCGGAGUAAAAUAUUUCAAUUUAUUUUUAUCGUUUUGAAAAACCCAUUCCUAAUAUUUUAAAACGGUACUUCCAAGUUCCAAGUUGCAACACUUUAAUCUUGCGGUUUAUACCUUUGCAGGUACCUACCUAUUUUUUAUUAAUCCGAUCGCGAACCCAACAAAACGAGGAUAAACAACUACCUACUCGAUGAUUUCACGAUGAUCGACAGAAAUAUUUCACAUCACAAUAUAAAAUGACUCAAAAAACUCACCCAAAGGUCCAGCAACUUGUUGUAAUCGUGUUACAGGAGAACAACUCGCAGCGAUGAAGCAACAAGCUACACAAACCACUAAAAAACACGACGAAUCGUACAUGAUUUUGAAAAAGCUACAACAACGAACGAAACCAAAACUGCAAAAAAUCCUCAGCACAGAACACGCGACUUUGGAAACUAUACUUAAAAUAUACCGCGUUUUAAGCGCACUUUGGCCCCGUAAACUUGAACGUUUCGCUGACCGAAAUGAAA